AAAAUACCAUAAACAAAAAAAUUUGAAAAAGAAGAAACGCUCAACACAUGACAUAGGAAACGUUUAUGAAUGAUGAAUGGUUUACAGAUCAGAGAACGGAGAGUUAUAGGCAUAGGAGACUGCAAUUUUGUUUCCUUGUGAAGAAAAAUGGUGAACAACUCACUAUCAGUUACUCCACUGUAUGUAACCGCCAUUUCCCUCGGUGUAUAUAUACCUAUACACAAUGUCUUCUCCAUCACUCUCCAGUACCGGUUGACUGACUCUUCUGCUCAUCAAUGGCUGAUACGGCUGCUC
rnacentral:lncRNA from 1 species